rnacentral:rRNA from 1 species
GACGAACGCUGGCGGCGUGCCUAAUACAUGCAAGUCGAGCGGACAGACCCGGAUCUUGUGCCUCUGACGUGAGCGGCGGGCGGGUGAGUCACGCGUGGAUCACGUACUUGCAAGUCUGGUAUCACUUCGUGACUGCGGAGCUAACACCGGAUGAGAUAUUGCACCGCAUGGUGCGUUAGAGAAAGUCGGCUUUGCGGUCUGUAAUAGCGGCAUCCGCGCCGCAUUAGCUGGUUGGGAAGGUAACGGCUUACCAAGGCGACGAUGCGUAGCCGACCUGAGAGGGUGAUCGGCCACACUGGAACUGAACCACGGUCCAGACUCCUACGGGAGGCAGCAGUAGGGAAUCUUCCGCAAUGGGCGAAAGCCUGACGGAGCAACGCCGCGUGAGUGAUGAAGGUCUUCGGAUCGUAAAACUCUGUUAUUAGGGAAGAACAAAUGUGUAAGUAACUAUGCACGUCUUGACGGUACCUAAUCAGAAAGCCACGGCUAACUACGUG